AUUUAGUUGAUUUAAAGGCCGCAUAAUGAUGUCCAAAAAUCCUCUGGUGUUGUCCGUGGUUGUCGUGGCACUGUUUGGUGUCAGUGUGUUCUGCAAGUGUCAAGAUGACCCGACUGGAUUUUGUGUCGCCCAAGCACUGCUCCACCCGAUUAAGUCCGUGCGGUGUUUUGUGAACGCAAGCACACCGUUUCUAAAUGUUACAAACUCGCAUUUUAAUGAACUUAGCAAGUGCAGCAAGGAACUUGCACCUAAUCCGGCCACUAGGGAUUUUAUAGGUCUCGUUGAAAACAUCCUAAGUGUUUUGAAUAAUAUUAUUAAUUCUUGCGGCAAAAAACCAAAUGGCGAACUUGCAGCUGGUUUCUGGUGUGGCACGAGGUCUGUGUAUAAAUACAUCAAGUUGCGAAAGUUGCUUAAGAAGGCGGAAAAAGCUGCCGCAAGUAUUGAACAAUUCAAUAGUUGCGUUUCAAAACAUAUUUCAAGCUAUGUACAAGAGUUUCCCAAAUUUCGACUUGCCGUAAAUUAUUGUAUUUUCCAUAAAGCACAAAAAGAGUAAUUAAGAAAUUUGCUCGAAUAUAAUAAAAAUGUAUACCAUACAUAUGAAUACUACCUGCUCAUUUAUUAUUUCGCAUAUGAUCGACUCAAUGUGUACAACGAAUUGUAUCCCAAAGAUACACAAACGCCUAUUUCUCAAUUGCACAUAUAUGAUAUAUAUAUUAACUAAUUUCGAUUGGGACUGGCCGCAAGCAAAAGUGGGCAGCCACAUAGCUUUUCUCAUACAUUUACUAAUAUACAUAUCCACAAACAUUUUUACAAAAUUGUUGUAAACUGUUUUUAUUAAGGGUUGUUUAUUUCAAUAUAAUAAAUUUAUAUUAAUUUAGUUUCAUUUCACCUUCAUGGUGACUUAUGUGUUACCGUUCAUAAUUUUAUCAGUUGAGCUUUUUAACUUUGUCUAAUACAAACUUAUUAUCCAUGGAAUAAGUUGGCUCUAUGAGUAGAAGCCGAUUGCCACCUAUCGAUAAAGGCUGAUUUUUGUUAUCAAAAAAUCCUCUAGUGUUGUCCAUGUGUGUGCCAGCAGCUGUGAAGAGAGCCCGACUGUAUAUUGAAUCAUCAAACCAGUGCAGCAGGGAAUUUCCACCCAAUCCGACCGCUAAAGAUUUUAUAGGUCUCCUAAGAGCUAAGAGCGAAAAGGCUGUGUAUAGCUGUGUAUGUCAAGCCGCGAAAGUUGCUUAAGAAGGUGGAAGAAGCUGCCAUAAAGUUUGAACAUUUCAAUAGUUGCAUAGCAAGUAAUGUUACAAGCUAUGUACGGCACUUUCCACAAUUUCAACGUGACUUGAAUUAUUGUAUUUUUCAUAAAUCAUAAAAAGAGUAAUUGAGAAAUUUAGUAGAAUAUAUUAAAAAUCUAUACCAUACAUAUGAA